rnacentral:misc_RNA from 1 species
GGAAUCUUCACUUUUGUCUAUUAGUUCGUGAUUUUCCAUCCUUUUACCUGAAGAGGUAGGUAGAUUAUUUCCUGGAAAUCUGGGAUUUUGGACCUUGUGUGCAACCUUGUUAUUUGAGGCAAUCCGUGCCAUUGAACGAGCAAAUGGAGAGAAACUUAAAGGUAGACAUCGCGCUGGUCUGCAAUGUCUUGCUGGCUUUCGGGGCAUUAUACAAAUUAGGCAAACUGACGGAAAGGUGGAAAAGGUGCGCCGGCGGGGAAAGCUCUGGCGACGAGAAUGGAGGCCGGAGGGGAGUACGGCAGGGUUUUAG